UCGAGAAUCUUCCGCAAUGGACGAAAGUCUGACGGAGCGACGCCGCGUGAUUGAUGAAGUUCUUUGGAACGUAAAGAUCUUUUAUGAGGGAAGAAGUUUAUUGACUGUACCUCAUGAAUAAGGGGCUCCUAAUCUCGUGCCAGCAGGAGCGGUAAUACGAGAGCCCCGAGCGUUAUCCGGAAUUAUUGGGCGUAAAGGGUGUGUAGGUGGUUGUAUUAGUCGUUUGUCAAAUCUCGGGGCUUAACCUCGAAACCGCGAACGAAACGGUACGACUAGAGAAUGUGAGGGGUAUAGGGAACUCAUGGUGUAGGGGUGAAAUCCGUUGAUAUCAUGGGGAACACCAAAAGCGUAGGCACUAUACUAACACAUAUCUGACACUCAAACACGAAAGCGUGGGUAG
rnacentral:rRNA from 1 species